GUAUUGUAUGAAAGGAGAGAAGGUUAGCACUCCCCUUGAUAAGGAUGGAAGAGGUCCUAGUGGCCUUUACAACACAUACACAGUUAAGGCAUUGCUACCCAUUCUGGGGCAUCUAAGCAUGUUUUG
ensembl:snRNA